rnacentral:rRNA from 1 species
GAUGAACGCUGGCGGCGUGCCUAAUACAUGCAAGUCGAGCGAACAGACGAGGAGCUUGCUCCUCUGACGUUAGCGGCGGACGGGUGAGUAACACGUGGAUAACCUACCUAUAAGACUGGGAUAACUUCGGGAAACCGGAGCUAAUACCGGAUAAUAUAUUGAACCGCAUGGUUCAAUAGUGAAAGACGGUUUUGCUGUCACUUAUAGAUGGAUCCGCGCCGCAUUAGCUAGUUGGUAAGGUAACGGCUUACCAAGGCAACGAUGCGUAGCCGACCUGAGAGGGUGAUCGGCCACACCGGAACUGAGACACGGUCCAGACUCCUACGGGAGGCAGCAGUAGGGAAUCUUCCGCAAUGGGCGAAAGCUUGACGGAGCAACGCCGCGUGAGUGAUGAAGGUCUUCGGAUCGUAAAACUCUGUUAUUAGGGAAGAACAAAUGUGUAAGUAACUAUGCACGUCUUGACGGUACCUAAUCAGAAAGCCACGGCUAACUACGU